rnacentral:lncRNA from 1 species
UGCAUACAACUCCAAAGGACAAAUCCCAUCAGUGAUCGCCAGCUAAGUAAAUAAGUGAAAGCCCUGGCAAUUUUAGUACUGGGUAGCAUCCAGCUAUUUAGCAAGGUGACUCUCUUGCUGUAGUUAGCUAUUCUGAUCACCACCACGACUAUGUUGUUUCAUUGAGCAGGCACUGUAAAAUCGUCUCCUUUACAGCUUGGAUUUCUGCUGUUACCAGGCUCAAAUGGUUUUAAAUGUCACUAAUAUGGGCUUGCCUCAUUCUUUUUGUUGAGUGACUGCAGAUGAUGACAGGUCUGUCAGGUCUCCUGCAGUUUUCACAAAAAUCCAAUAAUGAAAAAUAAUCACGGAGUGUUAAUUAUAAGCGUAUGUGGAGCUAUUAAAAGCUGCAGCCUGGCAAAAUAUUUUCGCAUAUGCUCAGCUUUAAGUAUAUGAGAAGCCUCAACCUCUUAAGAUGCUUUGCUGGAUUAAGAUCAGAAUUCCCCCAAUGAGUCCAGCACCCAUUUAAUUACUCUUUAAGGCAAAAACAACUGCCUCCAGAUACUAUUAAUAAUGUUUGUGCAUUAAAUCAUUCUCAAGCACUGUACGUAGAACAAGAUGUAUAAGCAAAUAACACUAGAGUUCAGCUAAAGCUGACAAAAAUAGGGCUCUGAAGUGAUAAUCUCGCAUCACUGCAUGUGCCAUGCAGCAGGCGAUGCAGCUCAAUCUUAUUUUGCUUGUCUUUACUUGAACAGAAAGAAGGCUCCAGAUGUCUGGGGAUUCAAGCUGCUUAUACCUGAUUCUUGUAUCAUUGUGGCAGCAUAAUGUUCUCAGGGGCUGGAACAUGCAACUGCCCUUGUUUUCUAACAAAUGAAAAAGCGAAGAUGAGAUGAAAUCGAUGAAGAAGGUAUUUGCUGCCUCACAAAAUGGAGGAUGCAAUUCAACUUGUGCAGUGUGUAUAUAUCACAUUGAUUUCCAUCAGAAGACAGGCAGAGAAGAGGUGCCCUGAAGGCCCAUUCUUAAUGUGGCUCAAUACCCACACCAUUGUAUCGCCAGUGUGCAAAUUGUUGCUUGUUGGAAAAAAUAUCACAGAAGCGCAUGUUUAUCACCCCGGAUGAUGAAAUUUGCUGUGAAGCCAGCAACUAAUGAUGAGUGAUGAGAAGCGAUUAAAAGGGCAACCCAAAAUAUUUAUAGUUCAUUGGUACUGCUGCACAGUGAUUGGUAAGUAGUUAAUGCUUGUGAAAUAGAGCUGCAAUUAGUCUGCAGCAGGUGACCUCCAGCUGUAAACAGCUUUGUGCAGAAGAGACUUCAAGAAAAGCUCUUUCAGA